ensembl:snoRNA
AUUCUUCUGUUCGUAAGCGUGAUGAUUGGGUGUUCACAUGUAUGAGAUGUGUCACCCUCCAACCUUUUUGUGCCAUUUUUCUGCCUACCUUAUU